rnacentral:lncRNA from 10 species
ACCACACCACGUUUCAUAUAAUUGGAAAAAUCUUAGGGGAAGUUCUGGGCCUGCUACAGAGUUGUUCAGCUUCUGGAACCUUCCUGCCUCUGCUUCUGUGGCCUCAGCCCUCCUUACUUAGAAAACAGACUCCACAUAUAAGCAGCAAAAAAGAAAGGAAAUGCAUAGCCUUGUGUGGCACUUGCCUUGGUGAUCCUCCUCUCUUCCCCUCGCUCUCAGCAGACCCCAAGUCUGACUUCCCAGAGGGCACACAAACCACCAUGUUCCCACCCCCUAAGUUACCAACAUACGUGCAAUGAACCUUUCCUUGGAUCUCUAGCAACUCUGCUGAAAUGGAUUUUGUCAAGGCCAACCAAGGUCAGCCAUGCCCUUGCUCCUGAACUCCAUGAUCCUUCCUACUUUCUGAACUUCUCUUCCUUUAGUUUUUUAUAAGGGAGGGUUUUCCAUCUAGUUAUCCAUGUAUUCUCAGUCCCCAGUACAUCCAUCCUCCCAGCCCUUCCAAAUUUCUCUUCCUCAGAACAACUCCCUCAUCUUCCUUCUCUUCUCAGUCUGUGUAUUCUGCCUGGGGGAUUACACUUUCUUUUACAGCCUUUACCAUCUCUACACUAAUGAAUCUCCAGGCUAGAUUCCUCUUCUAAAUGCCAGAUUUUUAUAUUCUAAUGCCAAUUACUCCAUUUAAAAACCUGUCUGUAUUUCCUUCCACCCCCAAACCUAUUUGCCCCAGUCCUGCUGGCACCUCCAUGAAUACCACCACCAUCCUCCAGGUGCAGAGGCCAAACCCAAAAGCCAUUCACAGCUUUCCCUCCCUCACCCCCAUCUAACAUCUAAGUCCUAUUGCUUAUGUCUCCUAAAUAUCUUCAGAAUCCACGGACUCCCUUCUGCCAUGUCCCCAGUAUUGCCUGCAUGUGGUUGCAGCAGCCUCCUCCUGCUCCAGCGGUAGCCCUCUCUACUGCGGGCAGGGUCCCAGCAGAUGGCACAUGGCGUGGGUACUUGAAGAAUCCCUGUUUACAAAGGUUCUUGCAGAGUUAAUGAAGCCAACAAAGAUGGAGAGUCACCAUGGGGCUAGCAACAGUGGGAAGCCUUAGGCACCUGAACCUGAAGGGAGCUGUUAUUAUUACAUGUAACUCAGAAAGAAAACCGUGGCUAGGAGAAAGGUCUGCCAGGCAGGACUGUGGCUCACAGCAGGGGAACAGAGCCAUUGCCAAUCUGAAGCCAUGGCAGGGAGGGAGCUGGGGAAAAGAUACCCCGAUUUCUCUCUCCUCCCACCCUCUUAUCUCCUGCUCCUGCCUCCUAUGGGCUGAAACUGCCUGGAAACCAGAGGGCAGAUCAACCUGUUAAGCAGUCUAAGAAACAUCAGCUUACUGGUGCUCAGAGAAGAAUGAAGACAAGUAGCAAGUGAGUCUGUAGGGGCAAAUGAAGAAUCCCUGGCACGUCCUCUCUAACUCAGUUUCCAUACUUCAGCUUAAGCAGCUUAAGUAACUUUUCUCUUUUUUACUUUCUUUCUUUCCUUUUUUUUUUUUUUUUUUUUUUUGAGAUGGAGUUUCACUCUUGUUGCCCAGGCUGGAGUGCAAUGGUGCGAUCUUGGCUCACUGCAACCUCUGCCUCCUGGGUUCAAGCAAUUCUCCUGCCUCAGCCUCCUGAGUAGCUGGGAUUACAGGCGCCCGUUACCACGCCUGGCUAAUUUUUGUAUUUUUAGUAGAGACAGGGUUUCUCCACGUUGGCCAGGCUGGUCUCGAACUCCUGACCUCAGGCGAUCAACCCACCUCGGCCUCCCAAAGUGCUGGGAUUACAGGCAUGAGCCAAUGGGCCUGGCCUUAAGUAACUUUUCUAUAGCACAAAUCUGAUUUUGUCAUCCCUUUCUUAAAAGUAUUCAAUGGCUCCACGAUGCCCCAGGAUGAUGUGAACCUCUUAAUGCCAUCCCUGCACAGUGUGGCUGCCUAAAUCUCCAGGCAGGCACCCCGCCGUCUCCAUCAGUGCCCAUAUCCCGGGCCCUGAUUGCCCUUCCUCACUGUCCACUCCAGCCAUUCCGAACUGAUGGGCAAUGCACUGUCUGGUAUCUACACCCCUUUGCAAGCCAAAUUCUUCCAUCCAUCAGUUCUCACUUUAGUUGUGGCCUCUUUCAGGCAGCCUUUUCUAACCACCCAAGUUGGGGCAAGUGCCUCUCCUGUGAUGUGGCGCUCUCUCCUCAUUCCUAUUACAGCACACUGUAUUCACUCAUAACAUGCUAUUGUUUCUAUCUAUUUCCUGUCUAUGUCCCCCACAGAUGGAAACAUACCGAAAGUCAACACUGAGUCUCAUCUGCUGUGACAGCACCCAAUAGAUAUUUGCUGAAUCAAUGAGUGAACCUCACGAAAAACCCUGUGACAUUGAUAUUCAUCUCUCAUUUUUAUAACUGAGGACACUGGGAUCUGGAGAUGUUUAGUGAUUUUUCCAAAGUCACAAAACUGGCUCUAGACAAAGUCCAGAUUAAUGAAUCCAUGUUUUCUAAUUCUUUGACAGGUACCUGUUCUACCUCCCUGGGCUGCCUGCCAAGGAUGCCCUUGGUCUGCCAGAAAAAAAGUAUUGCUGCUUUGCCCUGAUACACACAGAAGUCUAGAUUCCAUUCAUACCAAUAUCGGUCCUUCCUCCCCCAUGAAGCAUGUGAGAUGCUCUCUCUCCAUCGCCAAGUUUCUUCUUUCUGCUGGUUUCUCUGGCAAAAAGGCAAGAGGCAAGAACUGAUGUGGGAAACAGUGGCAGAGAGUUAGAGAAAGCAGGUAAGUCCGAAGGCCAAAUCCUUUUGCUGGGCAGACUGGAGAGAGGGAGAGACAUUGAGUCACUGCAACCCAGUACCCUGACAUGACCCAGGAGUUAGUUGCCCAGCAAGCUUGACCCAACACUGGAAUGCUUCCCACAUCAACCUGCACUGUGGAAAAAUCCAGUUCCUUUUGCAGCAUAGGCUUCUCCUUCCUCCUCUCAUUAAAUGGAGAAUGUUUAAUAGAGCGAUUGCAGGCUUUCAUCCAAAGCAACAAAUAGCUAGCACGGCUGGCUCUCGAAACGCUAGCAGGAUGUCAACAUGGGAGCCUUGGAGAAAUUUUUCUUGAAGAGUACUUAAGUCAAUAAUACCAAGGAGAAUGGUGAGUGUGUGCAGCAGCCUGAAGUGGACGUGCUUGGUGAACAAGGGGCACAAUAUAAAGAGCACAGCGGCCUGCCCUGCACUUUCCACUCACCAAGCAAGGAGCCGGGUGGCCUGGGGAGGCCUUCAAGUACUUUGGAAAUGCACAGAAGCCUCCAGCACUCCCAUUCCAAGGAAAAGGGGCCAUUAUGUCCCUUUUAUAAAUGAGGGUGCAGCAAAAAGAAGUGUUUUGCCCUGGUUCAAAGCACAAGAAGCAAAGACUACAAGACUUCAGAGUCACAGCUGGCUACAAACCCACCCCCUGCACCCAGUACCACUAGCUGGAGACACUGGAAGAUGCUCUUGUUAUUCUCGGAUCACCGCCUACCCCCAAAACCCAUCCUCCCUGCUGCCUUACCUGAGAAGUUGAACCCCAGAGACAGAAAGGAUCACCUGCACUCCUUGUACUGGGCCUUCCCAUCGGCCAACGUGUGGCAUGAACGAGGCUGCAUCCCUCUUCCAUAGCACCUGCACUCGUAGGCUCUGCAAAUUUCAUCCCCACCUUUGGCCCUUCAGGCCUAGGGCAAGUCACAGCUCCCCAGAACUGUUCAUCCCCAGGUGUCUCGCCAUCCCUAGAUAGCACCUGUAAGCCUGACUACACCUCUGUAAAGCGUGCCCUUCAUUAAAUUUUCUUCUGUUAAACCCUUUGGAGUGGGUCUUGGUUUUCCUGCCAGAACCAUGACUGACAUGGACAGUUACUUAACCUCUCUGAGUAUUGACUUCUUUGCCUCUAAAAUGAGGAUGAAAAUAUUUACUUGGCAAGGUUAUGGCAAAGGUUAUGUGAGAUGACCUCUAUGGAGCAUCCAUUAUGUGUCUGGCACUAUACGAUGCAUUUUACAUGCAUGAAUUCUCC